UACGUAGGGGGCAAGCGUUGUCCGGAUUCAUUGGGCGUAAAGAGCGUGUAGGCGGCCAGGUAGGUCCGUUGUGAAAACUCGAGGCUCAACCUCGAGACGUCGAUGGAAACCAUCUGGCUAGAGUCCGGAAGAGGAGAGUGGAAUUCCUGGUGUAGCGGUGAAAUGCGCAGAUAUCAGGAAGAACACCAAUGGCGAAGGCAGCUCUCUGGGACGGUACUGACGCUGAGACGCGAAAGCGUGGGGAGCGAACAGG
rnacentral:rRNA from 1 species